UGGCCGUCCUAAAAACUCAAUGACACUUCCGAAAGAAAGAUGAAGUCAACAAAUCGACAAUUUCAUUUAAAACUUAAUCCAGCGAAAAAUUAUUUAACAAUGUGUUUACUAAAUUGCAUUCUCAUAUCAAUUGUAACAUUAACACAUAGUCUACCGAUCUCAACGACAUUGUCCAGUGCCAUAGAAAAACAUCCGAAAUAUCGAGAUACUUUACUAAAUGCUACAGUAGUUCCGUUUGUUACCGAAUGCAGCUCAACGGACAAACUAAAACCGCA